UACGAAGGGGACUAGCGUUGUUCGGAAUUACUGGGCGUAAAGCGCACGUAGGCGGAUUUGUAAGUCAGGGGUGAAAUCCCGGGGCUCAACCUCGGAACUGCCUUCGAUACUGCGGGUCUCGAGUCCGGGAGAGGUGAGUGGAAUUCCUAGUGUAGAGGUGAAAUUCGUAGAUAUCUGGAGGAACACCGGUGGCGAAGGCGGCAUCCUGGACCGGCAUUGACGCUGAGGCGCGAAAGCCAGGGGAGCAAAGCGGG
rnacentral:rRNA from 1 species